rnacentral:rRNA from 1 species
GAUGAACGCUAGCGGCAGGCUUAAUACAUGCAAGUCGAACGGUAAGGUCUCUUCGGAGAUACACGAGUGGCGCACGGGUGCGUAACGCGUAUGCAACCUACCUUCAACUGGGAGAUAGCCCCGAGAAAUCGGGAUUAAUAUCCCAUACUAUCCUCUGAAUGCAUAUUCUAAGGAUGAAAGCUCCGGCGGUAGAAGAUGGGCAUGCGUGACAUUAGCUAGUUGGUGAGGUAACGGCCCACCAAGGCGACGAUGUCUAGGGGUCCUGAGAGGGUUAACCCCCACACUGGUACUGAGACACGGACCAGACUCCUACGGGAGGCAGCAGUAAGGAAUAUUGGGCAAUGGACGCAAGUCUGACCCAGCCAUGCCGCGUGAAGGAUGAAUGUCCUAUGGAUUGUAAACUUCUUUUGUACGGGAAAAAUUCCCUGGUUUCGUACCGGGGUUGAUGGUACCGUGCGAAUAAGCAUCGGCUAACUCCGUGCCAGCCGCCGCGGUAAGAC